UGGAAGGCCUUGUCAACGCAAUCACUGUCACUGAUGAUUAUUUAUCCAGCUUGGACGAGGCGCUCCGCUCUGCUGGCCGCCUGUGGAGUGAGUCCCUGCAUUGGAAACAAAUAUGGGUUCUAAUGUCAUGAAAACAGUACAGCCUUAUGCAAGUGUUUCCUCUUCCAAGGAUUUUGUCCUACCCUGCAGGGGAAUGACUGAAUAGUCUGAGAACUGCAUCUUCUGUCCUGAGCUU
rnacentral:lncRNA from 1 species